GUACUACUCACUCCGUCCAACAAAGGAUGUCUCAACUUUGACUAAAUUUGAAUGUAUCUAGACAUGAUUUAGUGUAUAGAUACAUUCAAAUUUUGACAAACUUAAGACAUCCUUUGUUGGACGGAGGGAAUACCUC
rfam:Brachypodium distachyon strain Bd21 chromosome 1, whole genome shotgun sequence.